CUCUCUCUCUCUCUCUCUCUCUCCCCCACAAUCGCCAUUGAAGGUUCCUUCUCUCUCUCUCUCUCUCUCUCUCUCUCUCCCUCUCCCCCAAUAAGAGGAAAGAGAGAAACCAUCUCUGAAGCAACAUUUCGAUCUUCUCCUCUCUCGUUGUUUCUUUCUGCGAUCAUGGGGUAUGCUGAUAAAUUUUUGCUAAUUUAAUCUACAAAAAUGGUUUAGAUUCAAUCCCACAGCUAAAAUCUGUGGAAAAAGAAUUUGGAGCUUGGUUAUUGAAAUUACGAAGCUGUACUCACCACUCAGAUUUGUAUCCUCUUUAAUGAGUGACAAAUGUUGUUUAUCGCGAGAUUCUUAAGAGCAUAUCGACUGAAAAGUUUUUCUCUUUGUCGUCACGCUAAAAGGCGAGCGUCAAUAGGUGUGUGACGAUGCAUGGCUUUUCGCCUUUUUUAUUCUAUACAAUAAUUUUUGAUGGAAUUUUAAACGAUAACUGAUAGAAAAUCAUUCUAUGGAUUAUUCAUUUUUAGAGCUUACAAAAUCAUGGGGUUGACGUGUGGGACCUUCAGGAGGCAUGGAAAAGAAAACAUAUGUAGUGCCUGUGCACUACCAUGCGUAUUGCAUGCUGCAUGUUGGUUCAUUACUGUCUGCUCUGUACCCACGUUAAAUUUGCUUGUCGUAAACCAAUGGAAGACCAAUCUUCCGAAUCCUCGAAAGAAGACUCAGAAACAGAGCACAUUGGAGACGAAAUCCAGUGCCAAGUAGGAAGCGGCAAGAAUAAUCCAGCUAAUAGUGAUACCGAACUUAUACCAAAGUUGGGUAUGGUAUUUGGGUCUGAGGAAGAAGCUUUACAGUUUUAUAUGGGAUAUGCCUAUCGCACAGGGUUUGGAAUAGUUAGAAGGUCAAAUAAUACAAUUGAAGGGUAUGUAUACCGUACUACAUUUAUAUGUCACAAGGGAGGUAAGUCUAGGGUCAAAAAAGAGAUUACCAGACCUCCAAGAAAACAAGCAAGCAAGACUGGUUGCAAAGCUAAAAUGAUCAUUAAAGAUCAUCAUUUUCAAAACCGUUGGGAGGUGGUUGUUGUUGAAUUGGAGCACAACCAUCCACUUGAGCCUAACAUUGUUAAGUUCAUGAAUUGUUUUAAGAAGUCUCCUUUUUUUGGAAAAAAGCAGCUCCUGAUUGGAGACAGCAAGGAUGCUCCUCCAAGCAACUCUGUUGAUGCCGUGUCUGUUCAAGGUUCAUCUACUCAAAGAGAUUCCAGAAUUGAGAUAGGAAAUAUUAGAAAAUUAGAGCUUGAGGAAGGGGAUUUAGAAGUCCUUUUAAGUUACUUCGACAAAAUGCAAGAUCAAAAUCCAUAUUUCUUUUACAGUUUGGAUAUGAAUGAAGAAGGCCAGCUUAGAAAUGUUUUUUGGGCCGAUGCUCGAUCUAGAGGUUCAUAUAGUUACUAUGGAGACGUCGUCAAAGUUAGCGUGGCAAACUUCACAGAUCUGAGCAACGUGUUGUUUAUCACAUUUACUGGAGUGAACCACCAUGGUCAGGAGGUGUUAUUGGCCUGUGGUCUGGUUACGGAUAGAACUUUCCAAACCUAUACGUGGCUUUUUAAUAAAUUUUUAAGAUGCAUGAAUGAUAGACCACCAAAUGCGAUAAUAACUGAUCAUUGUCGGAACAUAGUUACAGCUAUUAGAAAGGUUUUUCCCCAUGUGCAGCAUAGGUUUUGCCUUUGGAGCAUUUUGAAAGCGCUUCCUGAGAAGUUAAGGGGAGUGGAAGAGAUGGAGGCAAUAGGUCUCAAAUUCCAACGUGUGGUUUAUGAUUCACUGUUAAUUCCUGAUUUUGAAAAAGAAUGGCAAGAAAUGAUCGGGCAAUUCAAGCUCGAAGGUAAUGAAUGGUUCUCCAAUUUAUAUGAAAUUAGGGAGCAUUGGGCGCCCGUGUUUGUGAAGGAUACAUUCUGGGCAGGCAUGUCUAUCACUGAGAGAGGUGACAGCAUUAGUAGCGUUUCCGAUGGAUGGUCGACAAGCAAAACUUCAUUGCAAAUGUUUCUUGAACGGUAUGAUGAUGGUAUUAAAAGUAUAUUUGAGAAAGAAGCUUAUGAAGAAUUUCGUUCAAUUCAAAUGAGGCCACAGUUACUAACCGGUUUUCCUUUUGAGGAGCAAGUCUCACGAGUUUAUACGGUAAGCAUCUUUGAAAAGUUCCAGUGCGAAGUAAAGCAUUUAUUCCAAGUUAGCAGUAAUGUACUCAAUAGAAGCGGUUCUGUAGUUUCGUAUGUAGUCACAGAGUUUGUAAAUGGAAAGAAGAUUGAUUACCGAGUGGCCUAUGACAAUGUCGAGGAUGAUAUAUGGUGCAUUUGCAGGUCAUUCCAGCACAGAGGUAUUUUGUGCAGGCAUGCUCUGUCUGUAUUGAGACAAGAGCUUGUGAUGUUAAUUCCAUCAAAAUACAUUAUCACUCGUUGGCGGAACGAUUUUAAGCGCUUACAAGCAUCUAUUGCUUCACCUUUCGUAGCGCCUACUCAGGAACUGGGAAGCUUUGACGAUCUGUAUAGGCAUACCCAUCGAUAUUUUCUGGAAAUCGUGGAAAUCGGAGCCACUAACCUUGGUUCUAAGGAGUAUGCUUUAUCGAUGAUGAAGGAGGUUAAAGAUAAGGUAAUAGCAUUCGAGAAGUCAUUGCGAGAUCAGAGAAUUAACAGUGAGAUUGGAUCAACAGGUUAUUCCUAUAAUCCAAUCAAUGAGGAUUUUGCGGAUGAUCGACCACCUGCCAUUGUAAAUACCAAGGGUUGGGAACCUUCACAAGCACAUUCAAAAGGUCGCUCGCGGAAGAAGAAACCCACUGGUCUGAGGGGAGCUGUUCUUAACCCUCUGAAUAAGAAUAAGACGACUUCCGAAAGAAAGAGGAGAAACACUUCAAGCAACUUGAACCCGAGGAAUAAUGAUACUACUAUGAAUAAUGACGCCCAUGUGCAACAUGAACAACUCCAUGAGGGGUGGGCACUACCUCCUAGCGGGACGCAGGAAAGCUUUCCGUAUGGGGUCGGUUUAUACUGCAACCCGCAUAUUUCUUCUGAUUAUGCAAUAAAAUUGUCUUAUUCUUCUCAUUUCUUGUUUGCUUUGAUUGCUGGCAGGUAGAAACCAUCUCCUUCGAUUUGUCGCAGUACAAUGCUGCUCGUAAUUUUCAGUGGCCUGAAAGUAGCCGGUUUCGGAUUUUCUGGAAAGAGCCUUAACUUCCCAAAUCCAGCGACUUCUGACAACUUAAUGACUUGGCCUGAAGAUCUCAGCAAGUAUUUUGUCGGCCAGUUUGUGAAGUUUCUCGCCUUCUGGCGCUCCCAACUCUUCUUUGGUGGUAGGAACUCAACGCGAUGUCGGAUGAGCCUAGUUUGGCUAGGAGUCUAUAUAUAGAUUGUAAAGUCCUCCCUGUCCAUACAGUUUUUGUAUAAUUUAUCCAUAGUUGUCAUCUUAUUGCAAGGUUUGUCAAUCUAAAUUUCAAAUAUGUUACUCUAACCUGCUUGAUUAUGUUGAUGCUGUUGUAUGCACCAAAUCAAAGUUGGGUAUACAGGGUUUAAGGCGGGUUAAUGCAGGGUUUAAAGUGGGUUAAUGUUGUGGUACACUAAUUUCUGUAAAAAAUCAAGCUUGAAAACAGUACUUGUCAAUUGCCAUGGUUGGAACCAAGGUUUUUACUA